CUGAUGGUCUGGGCAGGUGGGGAAGGGUGAGAAAUAAGAGACUACACAUUGAGUACAGUGUACAUUGCUCGGGUAAUAGGUGCACCAAAAUCUCAGAAAUCACCACUAAAGAACUUAUCCACGUAACCAAAUACCACCUGUUCCCCCAAAACUAUUGAAAUAA